AUUAGAUUGAAUUGAUUAGGUUUUGAUUAGGAUUAGGUUUAAGUUAAGAUUUAGGAUUUGUUUAGGAUUUAGGAUUUAGAAUUUGUUUUGGUUUUAAGAUUUGUUCAAGGUUUAGGAUUUGGCCUAGGAUUUGAUUGAAGUCCAUUAAGGUUUCAACUAGGAUUAAAUUAGGACUUGAUUGAAAUUUAUUUAAGAUAUAUUUGUAAUUUUUCUAAUAUUUCAUUAGGAUUUCUUUGGGAUUCUUUUAAGGUUUAUUGUGAAUUUUUUUUAAACUCUUUUAAGAUUUCUUAUU
rnacentral:lncRNA from 1 species